rnacentral:rRNA from 1 species
AGAGUUUGAUCCUGGCUCAGGAUGAACGCUGGCGGCGUGCCUAAUACAUGCAAGUCGAACGCUUCACUUCGGUGAAGAGUGGCGAACGGGUGAGUAAUACAUAAGUAACCUGGCAUCUACAGGGGGAUAACUGAUGGAAACGUCAGCUAAGACCGCAUAGGUGUAGAGAUCGCAUGAACUCUAUAUGAAAAGUGCUACGGGACUGGUAGAUGAUGGACUUAUGGCGCAUUAGCUUGUUGGUAGGGUAACGGCCUACCAAGGCGACGAUGCGUAGCCGACCUGAGAGGGUGACCGGCCACACUGGGACUGAGACACGGCCCAGACUCCUACGGGAGGCAGCAGUAGGGAAUUUUCGGCAAUGGGGGAAACCCUGACCGAGCAACGCCGCGUGAAGGAAGAAGUAAUUCGUUAUGUAAACUUCUGUCAUAGAGGAAGAACGGUGGAUAUAGGGAAUGAUAUCCAAGUGACGGUACUCUAUAAGAAAGCCACGGCUAACUACGUGCCAGCAGCCGCGGUAAUACGUAGGUGGCGAGCGUUAUCCGGAAUUAUUGGGCGUAAAGAGGGAGCAGGCGGCACUAAGGGUCUGUGGUGAAAGAUCGAAGCUUAACUUCGGUAAGCCAUGGAAACCGUAGAGCUAGAGUGUGUGAGAGGAUCGUGGAAUUCCAUGUGUAGCGGUGAAAUGCGUAGAUAUAUGAGGAACACCAGUGGCGAAGGCGACGAUCUGGCGCAUAACUGACGCUCAGUCCCGAAAGCGUGGGGAGCAAAUAGGAUUAGAUACCCUAGUAGUCCACGCCGUAAACGAUGAGUACUAAGUGUUGGGGGUCAAACCUCAGUGCCGCAGUUAACGCAAUAAGUACUCCGCCUGAGUAGUACGUUCGCAAGAAUGAAACUCUAAGGAAUUGACGGGGGCCCGCACAAGCGGUGGAGCAUGUGGUUUAAUUCGAAGCAACGCGAAGAACCUUACCAGGUCAUGACAUCGAUCUAAAGGCUCCAGAGAUGGAGAGAUAGCUAUAGAGAAGACAGGUGGUGCAUGGUUGUCGUCAGCUCGUGUCGUGAGAUGUUGGGUUAAGUCCCGCAACGGGCGCAACCCCUGUUGCCAGUUGCCAGCAUUAAGUUGGGGACUCUGGCGAGACUGCCGGUGACAAGCCGGAGGAAGGCGGGGAUGACGUCAAAUCAUCAUGCCCCUUAUGACCUGGGCUACACACGUGCUACAAUGGACAGAGCAGAGGGAAGCGAAGCCGCGAGGUGGAGCGAAACCCAUAAAACUGUUCUCAGUUCGGACUGCAGUCUGCAACUCGACUGCACGAAGAUGGAAUCGCUAGUAAUCGCGAAUCAGCAUGUCGCGGUGAAUACGUUCUCGGGCCUUGUACACACCGCCCGUCACACCAUGAGAGUCGGUAACACCCGAAGCCGGUGGCCUAACCGCAAGGAAGGAGCUGUCUAAGGUGGGACUGAUGAUUGGGGUGAAGUCGUAACAAGGUA